UACGUAGGGUCCGAGCGUUGUCCGGAAUUAUUGGGCGUAAAGAGCUCGUAGGCGGUCCGUUAAGUCGGAAGUGAAAUCUCAAGGCUCAACCUUGAAAUCGCUUUCGAUACUGGCGGACUUGAGGCAGGUAGGGGAAGGUGGAAUUCCUGGUGUAGCGGUGAAAUGCGCAGAUAUCAGGAGGAACACCGGUGGCGAAGGCGGCCUUCUGGGCCUGUUCUGACGCUGAGGAGCGAAAGCGUGGGGAGCAAAC
rnacentral:rRNA from 1 species